rnacentral:rRNA from 1 species
UGGGGAAUAUUGGACAAUGGGGGGAACCCUGAUCCAGCCAUGCCGCGUGUGUGAAGAAGGCCUUUUGGUUGUAAAGCACUUUAAGCGAGGAGGAGGCUACCGAGAUUAAUACUCUUGGAUAGUGGACGUUACUCGCAGAAUAAGCACCGGCUAACUCUGUGCCAGCAGCCGCGGUAAUACAGAGGGUGCAAGCGUUAAUCGGAUUUACUGGGCGUAAAGCGCGCGUAGGUGGCCAAUUAAGUCAAAUGUGAAAUCCCCGAGCUUAACUUGGGAAUUGCAUUAGAUACUGGUUGGCUAGAGUAUGGGAGAGGAUGGUAGAAUUCCAGGUGUAGCGGUGAAAUGCGUAGAGAUCUGGAGGAAUACCGAUGGCGAAGGCAGCCAUCUGGCCUAAUACUGACACUGAGGUGCGAAAGCAUGGGGAGCAAACAGG